GGUUUAAGGUGUUGUUCCUU
rnacentral:siRNA from 1 species